rnacentral:rRNA from 1 species
UUAAAUUGAAGAGUUUGAUCAUGGCUCAGAUUGAACGCUGGCGGCAGGCCUAAAACAUGCAAG